GCCAGCGAUUGGCAACUACAUCCUCCGGUGUUUCAGAUGCUGGACUUCCUUCGAGGUUCCCUCCACCUGGAUCUGUUCGCAUCCAGGGCGAAUUGCCAGACAGAUUUAUUCUUUAGUUGGCUCCCGGAUCCCCUCAGCGAAGCAGUGGACGCAUUCCUCCAGGAAUGGCCUCCCUCGGGAGUGUAUGCGUUUCCACACCUUCUCCAUGAUUAUCCGGACGUUAAAUUGGAGCAAGCUUCUGAGGAUGUCGCCUCUCCUAAUCGUGUUGCUUUGGAGGAGUCGUGGUGGAGUUGUCGUGCAAAGACCCACUACUUCUGCCUGUCUCCAAGUUUCUCCUUCGGGAUCCAGCAGGGAAUCCACAUCUGAUGGUAUUAGAGGGCUGUCUGUCGCUGGUGGCCUGGACCGUUUCCAGGGUUCCCGGGAUGUGUCAGGCCUAUCGACAGUGGCUAGAUAGUUACCAGACGAGCGUAUCUACAC